ensembl:lncRNA
GGAAGAUUCAGGCUGGACUUUAGGAAAUACUACUUGUCUGAAAGGGUGGUCCGGCACUGGAAUGGGCUGCCCAGGGAGGUGGUGGAGUCAUCGACCCUGGUGGUGUUCAACGAGUGUUUGGAUGUUGUGUUGAGGGACAUGGUUUAGCGGGAACCAUUGGUGAAGGGCGAACGGUUGGACUGGAUGAUCCUGUGGGUCUCUUCCAGCCUUAGCGAUUCUAGGAUUCUAGGAAAGCUCGGAGAAGGCUGGAGAAAUCAAGGUUGCCUCUAAGGUGCUGCUUUCAAACAACAUGAGUUGUUGGGCAUGAGACGGGAAAGACAAGGUUCAGGUUCCAAAGGCUUCCAAUCCCCAUGGAUCUGGCUGUCUGCAAACACAACAGCUGCCUGCUUUCCAGCAGGGGGAUGCUCACCCAGCAAAGCACUCACCCAGCACAUGCCUUUCCUACAGUCACAGCAUCAGCAAGGUAGGAAAAGACCUCCGAAACCAUCCAGUCCAACCUACCACCAAUAUUUCCUUCCCACUAAGACACGUCCCUCAGUACAACAUCUAAUGUCUCUUGAACACCCACAGGGACAGUAACUCUAUCACCUCCCUGGGCAGCCCCUUCCAGCGUCUGACCACUCACUGGGAGAAGCUUUUCUUCACACCCAACCUCAAUCUCCCCUCAUGUAACUUGAGGCCAUUCCCUCUAGUCCUAGCACUAGUUCCGUGGGAGAAGAGGACCAUCCCCACCUCCACAUAACCUCUCGUCACAUAAUUGGACAGAGUCAGGUGGUCUUCCCUCAGCCUCCACUUCUCCACACUAACGAAUCCUACUUCCCUCAGCCGCUCCCCACCAGACUUGAGCUCUAGACCCCUCACAGCUUCAAUGCUCUUCUCUGGACACACUUCAGGCUUUCAGGGGCCCCCUUGUAGUGAGGGGCCCAGAACUGAAUACAGUACUCAAGGUGAGGACUCACCAGUGCUGAGUACAGGGAGGGGGAUGAUCACUUCCCAGCUCCGGCUGGAUCCAGCUCUCAAACAGACCAAGCAGUGGCAUCACACUCACUUAAAACACACACACAGAAGCAGCCAAACCCUGAGCACGCACAUCCCC